GACGAACGCUGGCGGCGUGCUUAACACAUGCAAGUCGAACGGAAAGGCCCUGCUUUUGUGGGGUGCUCGAGUGGCGAACGGGUGAGUAACACGUGAGUAACCUGCCCUUGACUUUGGGAUAACUUCAGGAAACUUGGGCUAAUACCGGAUAGGAGCUCCUGCUGCAUGGUGGGGGUUGGAAAGUUUCGGCGGUUGGGGAUGGACUCGCGGCUUAUCAGCUUGUUGGUGGGGUAGUGGCUUACCAAGGCUUUGACGGGUAGCCGGCCUGAGAGGGUGACCGGCCACAUUGGGACUGAGAUACGGCCCAGACUCCUACGGGAGGCGGCAGUGGGGAAUAUUGCACAAUGGGCGGAAGCCUGAUGCAGCAACGCCGCGUGCGGGAUGACGGCCUUCGGGUUGUAAACCGCUUUCGCCUGUGACGAAGCGUGAGUGACGGUAAUGGGUAAAGAAGCACCGGCUAACUACGUG
rnacentral:rRNA from 1 species